GACGAACGCUGGCGGCGUGCUUAACACAUGCAAGUCGAACGAAGAGCGAUGGAAGCUUGCUUCUAUCAAUCUUAGUGGCGAACGGGUGAGUAACGCGUAAUCAACCUGCCCUUCAGAGGGGGACAACAGUUGGAAACGACUGCUAAUACCGCAUACGAUCUAAUCUCGGCAUCGAGGAUGGAUGAAAGGUGGCCUCUACAUGUAAGCUAUCACUGAAGGAGGGGAUUGCGUCUGAUUAGCUAGUUGGAGGGGUAACGGCCCACCAAGGCGAUGAUCAGUAGCGGGUCGGGGGGGAGGACCGGCCACAUGGGGACUGAGACCGGGCCCAGACCCCCAGGGGAGGAAGCAGGGGGGAAUCUCCCGCAAGGGAGGAAAGUCUGACGGAGAACCGCCGGGGGAGUGAUGAGGGCCUUCGGGUUGUAAAGCUCGGUUAAUGGGGACGAAAGGCCUUCUGGCAAAUAGGGAGAGGGAUUGACGGUACCGAAAAAGAAAGCCACGGCUAACUACGGG
rnacentral:rRNA from 1 species